UGGGGAAUAUUGGACAAUGGGGGAAACCCUGAUCCAGCAAUGCCGCGUGUGUGAAGAAGGCCUUAGGGUUGUAAAGCACUUUCAGUGGGGAAGAAGGGUGUGCGGUUAAUACCCGUACAUUUUGACGUUAACCACAAAAGAAGCACCGGCUAACUCUGUGCCAGCAGCCGCGGUAAUACAGAGGGUGCUAGCGUUAAUCGGAAUUACUGGGCGUAAAGGGUGUGUAGGUGGUUGGAUAAGUUAGAUGUGAAAUCCCCGGGCUUAACCUGGGAACUGCGUUUAAAACUGUUUAACUAGAGUACUGUAGAGGAUAGUGGAAUUUCCAGUGUAGCGGUGAAAUGCGUAGAUAUUGGAAGGAACACCAGUGGCGAAGGCGACUAUCUGGACAGAUACUGACACUGAGACACGAAAGCGUGGGGAGCAAACAGG
rnacentral:rRNA from 1 species